rnacentral:lncRNA from 1 species
CCCUCUGGCCUCUGAUACUCCGCGCUCCGGAGUGUGCCGCCGGAUCCUCGCUCCAACCUCGUCGCGUCCUAGCCCCCCGGGAUAGACCGGGCCGGCCCACAAACGGUGUGCCCGCACCCCGACUCCUGCUCCAUGCUUUUGGCAGUCAUGGGAGCGGGGGGUUGUGUAUGGGACAGUGGGCAACUCGCUGCAAAGCCAACCGUGUGCUCCCCCGCCGCGCCCGUGAGCUUCACGCCUCGGACAGCUCCUGGUGCACUUUCCCGCUCUUCCUGUCAGGAGGUGGUGCCCUCUGGGUACCAGGCCGCUCGUCCCGGGCCAAUCGCAAAGCGCUUAGAGCCGAAUGGGGCGGGACAGAGGCAAGAAAGGGUCGUCCCAAUUGGAGCGUUCGAAAGGUUCUGGGCAGAGGCGGGGAAGCGGCGAGUGGGGGCCUCGCCCCGCCUGCGGUCGCCAUGGUAACCGAGAGGGCGCAGCUCAGCGUUGGCGCCAGCACCGGGGUCUUGUGCUGUCCCUCAAUGGGUGACCAGUUAAGGUGGGAACCUGUGGUCUCACAUACUUGAAGUCUGAGCUGAGUGGACCUGACUGCCAUAGACUUUCCAUUGAAAGGGGAAAUGUGUCAGAGAGAAGCGAGUCUGGGAGGAGGGAAAGUGCCUUCAGUCCAGGACUAAUUUCAAGGUUUACAACACUUUACACACUCUGCAACUCCUGAUAAUCCAGGGACUACUCCUUUGGCAGCGUUUGCUAUUCGAUGCCUCCAGAUGUACUGAAGCUGCAAAAACGAGCUCUUCAUUACAAAGAUACGUUUGUUUAGGAAGAGACUGGAUUUCACUUGUCAACUUACCCCAUCACCACGAGUCAUUUAAUGUUGGUAACGCCAGCCACGAUUUUUCGUAUCUAUAACACCCCUUCUUCCAUUGAAUUCUACCUACAAAUAACUGAAGGCUCACAUUAUUUUGGAAUAUGGACCUCCGCCUCUUGUGGAGACUUGAGAUUGCUCUUAAGCUGAUUUCCCAAACAGGGGCUGCAAUGUGUGUUCCCGAUUUUAGAUUCAUUGAGCUCACCCUAGAUGAGUCCUUUGGUUCGGUGGUUCGGAAAAGUCUCUUUGUUCCUUCUCCAAACUCAAUGUUCCAGGAUCUCUUGGUGCUCGUGCCAGUGUCUCAUGUAGAAUGUUGCGUGAUCUCUGCUCAAGAAUCUGAGUCACAAGGUUGAUGCCUUCACAGAUGACAGAACAGAAGUUCCCUGAGUACCCGAGUCUGUCUUUGCUGUUUCUAAGGUAGUGAUUAUUAAAAUGUCAAGGGAAAUGAAA